rnacentral:rRNA from 1 species
AUGCUCUCUCAAGGUUUCAAAAGGUCUAAUUAUGAUAGUUGUGUUUAUUUGAAAACUGUCAAAGGUUCAACUAUUUAUUUGCUCCUUUAUGUUGAUGAUAUGCUUAUUGCUGCAAAGAGUAUGUCAGAGAUUAAUGAACUAAAGAAGCAAUUGGGUAAUGAAUUUGAGAUGAAGGAUUUGGGUGCAGCAAAGAAAAUUCUUGGCAUGGAAAUAUCCAGAGAUAGACCAUCUGGAAAAGUGUAUCUUAGUCAGAAGGGAUAUAUUGAUAAAGUUCUUCAUCGUUUUAAUAUGCAUAAUGCCAAGCCAGUAAGUACUCCGUUAGCUGCACACUUUAAGUUAUCAUCAGCCUUAUGUCCUAAGUCAGAUGCAGAUAUUGAGUACAUGUCUAGAGUUCCCUAUUCGAGUGCAGUUGGUUCACUUAUGUAUGCCAUGGUUUGUUCUCGUUCGGAUUUAUCUUAUGCAUUGAGUGUUGUCAGUAGAUACAUGGCUAAUCCUGGAAAAGAGCAUUGGAGAGCAGUUCAGUGGAUUUUCAGAUACCUGCGAGGUACUUCUAAUGCUUAUUUACAGUUUGGGAAAACUAGAGAUGGACUUGUUGGUUUUGUUGAUUCUGAUUUUGCUGGUGAUUUGGAUAAGAGAAGAUCACUCACAGGUUAUGUUUUCACCAUUGGUGGUUGUGCUGUGAGUUGGAGAGCAACUUUGCAGUCUAUUGUGGCUUGUUCCACUACUGAUGCCGAGUAUAUGGCUAUUUCUGAGGCAUGCAAAGAAGCUAUCUGGUCGAGAGGUUUGUAUACUGAGCUUUGUGGAGAUUCAUCUUGCCCUACCAUAUUUUCUGACAGUCAAAGUGCCAUAUAUCUUACAAAGAAUCCAAUGUAUCAUGAGAGGACAAAGCACAUUGAUGUCAGAUUUCAUUAUAUUCGAGAUGUUGUUGCUGAAGGCGAUUUGAAGGUAUGCAAGAUAAGUACUCAUGAUAAUCCUGCUGAUAUGAUGACAAAGCCAGUUCCGACCAAUAUGUUUGAGCUUUGCUCAGGCUUAGUUGGUAUUUCUCACUAG